rnacentral:lncRNA from 1 species
GUUUCCUCAUGCUGCCUGUUACAGAGUAAAGAAGAGUAAAAAAUUGUCUCUGCAUAGGCCUUUGGCCACAGCUGAGCAUGACAGUGUCUACACCCUGCAUUUUAGCAUCAUUUCGUGGAUGGAUCCCACCUCCUGUAUCCCUAUAGUGAAAAUGUGAUAAGUUCCAGGCAAAUUUCUCAGGCGACUGCAAAAACUACAGAAUUGCUAUGAUUAGACCUGGGGAUUGCAGACUGGGUGGAUCCAUCCUAGUGGUAGAGCAUUGCUUAGCAUGCCUGAGGCCCUGGGUUGAAUCCCCAGCACCAUCCCACCUUCCCCUCAAAUUGGUAUGAUUGACUAUUCAGAUAGACCAUACACACACACACACACACACCAAAAAAAAAAAAAACAAGAUCAUAUUGAUUAAACCAUCCCCCCCCCAAUUUUUAUAAGGAUCAUAAUUUGGCCUGUUGAUCUCAAAGGAGAAUGAGAACAUGUUUAAGUUGUCAUGAACAGUCGCUUUGUUAGAUUUUUUCCUUGACAGGACAAAAAGUGGAAUUCAGCCCUUUAAAAGAAAAAUUGUGUCUUAGUACGAUGAACCCCAAGUUGGUGAGUUCCUAACUCCUAACCAUGGUCACUUUAUUGCUCAUGAAAACCUGAUUUCCUUGCAAACAAAACAUUGCUGUCUUAGCUUCUUUCAAAAAUAUGUCCCAUGUUUUUCUCUUUGUGCUUCAUAGUAAUUGAUUCCAGAACUGAGUAUUCCCAUACAUCAAAUCUUUGUUGUCUAUUAUUUUGCUUAUAGAACUAAUACUAAUUACUGUCAUCCUGCCUCUGCUUUUCAAGUGCCUUUUUAUAAGGAGAACUUGAUAGCUGUCUUUUGGCUAAUUAUCUUC